GCCAGACUCCUACGGGAGGCAGCAGUGGGGAAUAUUGCACAAUGGGGGAAACCCUGGUGCAGCGACGCCGCGUGAGUGAAGAAGUAUUUCGGUAUGUAAAGCUCUAUCAGCAGGGAAGAAAAUGACGGUACCUGACUAAGAAGCCCCGGCUAACUACGUGCCAGCAGCCGCGGUAAUACGUAGGGGGCAAGCGUUAUCCGGAUUUACUGGGUGUAAAGGGGGCGCAGACGGCAGCGCAAGCCAGGAGUGAAAGCCCGGGGCCCAACCCCGGGACUGCUCUUGGAACUGCGCGGCUGGAGUGCAGGAGGGGCAGGCGGAAUUCCUUGUGUAGCGGUGAAAUGCGUAGAUAUAAGGAAGAACACCAGUGGCGAAGGCGGAUGACUGGACGGCAACUGACGGUGAGGCGCGAAAGCGUGGGGAGCAAACAGGAUUAGAUACCCUUGUA
rnacentral:rRNA from 1 species